rnacentral:rRNA from 1 species
CGCUGGCGGCGUGCCUAACACAUGCAAGUCGAGCGGAGCCAUCUAGAAGAUCCCUUCGGGGUGAUUCUGGGGAAGGCUUAGCGGCGGACGGGUGAGUAACGCGUGGGUAACCUGCCUUGUACAGGGGGAUAACAGUUAGAAAUGACUGCUAAUACCGCAUAACCCGCUAAGGUCGCAUGACCUAGACGGAAAAGAUUUAUCGGUACAAGAUGGUCUCGCGUCUGAUUAGCUAGUUGGCGGGGUAACGGGCCCACCAAGGCGACGAUCAGUAGCCGGUCUGAGAGGAUGAACGGCCACAUUGGGACUGAGAUACGGCCCAGACUCCUACGGGAGGCAGCAGUGGGGAAUAUUGGGCAAUGGGGGAAACCCUGACCCAGCAACGCCGCGUGAAGGAAGAAGGCCUUCGGGUUGUAAACUUCUUUUACCAGGGACGAAGGAAGUGACGGUACCUGGAGAAAAAGCAACGGCUAACUACGUG